rnacentral:lncRNA from 1 species
AACCCUAAUGCUGAUUGCAUGGAAAAGCUCAGUUUAGGGUUUAAAACCCUAAUGUUGGCUGAAUGAAAAAAGGUUCAGUUUAGGGUUUAAAACCCUAAUGCCGACUAAAGGAAAAAUUCAGUUUAGAGUUUAAAACCCUAAUGCUGAUUGCAUGAAAAAGUUCAGUUUAGGGUUUAAACCCCUAAUGCUGACUAAAUGGAAAAAGUUCAGUUUAGGGUUUAAAACCCUAAUGCUGACUGAAAGGAAAAAGUUCAGUUUAGGGUUUAAAACCCUAAUGCUGACUGGCUGGAAAAGUUCAGUUUAGGGUUUAAAACCCUAAUGCUGACUAAAGGGAAAAGUUCAGUUUAGGGUUUAAAACCCUAAUGCUGACUGAAUGGAAAAGUUCAGUUUAGGGUUUAAAACCCUAAUGCUGACUGAAAGGAAAAAGUUCAGUUUAGGGUUUAAAACCCUAAUGCUGACUGGCUGGAAAAGUUCAGUUUAGGGUUUAAAACCCUAAUGCUGAUUGCAUGGAAAAGCUCAGUUUAGGGUUUAAAACCCUAAUGUUGGCUGAAUGAAAAAA